AUGAAAAAAGACCUAUGGAAACACUCUAAGACAUGUAGGGGACAGCGGGAUGCGACAAAAACAAAAGGUGAGCGAGUGAGAUCAGCUGCAGCCUGUCUGAUACCAACCCCAGCAAAGUGCUCUGCUGGUAUUACAUCUCUCUUGCAAGGUAUGAGACAAGAUGAAAUCACAGAAACAAUUAUGAAGGACAGUUUGAUAUGUCUCUACGGUGAAUCACUUUAUACAAAGUGUGGUCAUGAUAAGUCACAGCAUCAGUACAUCAUUCAAAAAAUGAGAGAGCUGGCCAGGUUUAUGAUUGAAGUAAAGUCAAAAUCCAAAAAAGUGAGGAACCUUUCAGAGCUUUGUAACCCUGAGAACUUUCUCCUAGCCAUCACUGCUUGUAAAGAAGUGAGCAACUAUCAACCGGAUUUAAAUACGUUUAAAACCCCCUCUCUUGCUCUGAAGAUCGGAUACUCCCUGAAGAAAGCCUGUCAGCUUAGUUUGGGACAAAGUUUAAUGGCAGGGGACAGAGACACUGAGAAGAAGCUGAAAAACUUCAUCAAGCUAAUUGACAGUCAUUGGCGUACCAACAUUUCGAGUCAGGCCCUCAACACCUUGCAGCAGAGCAAGUGGAACAAGGGUGACACCAUCCCUCUUACGGAAGAUGUUGUGGCUUUACAAAAGCAUCUCAAAAGUGUGGAGCAGGUCUCAAAAGAAAAACUCAAAGAGAACGUGAAUGGCGCUGACUGGAAAAUCUUGGCUGAGACUUUACUCUGUCAAAUCAUUCUUUUUAAUCGGAGACGUGAAGGUGAGGCAUCCAAAUUGCUCCUUGCAUCAUACGUGAGUCGAAACGUGAAGCCUCCUAACGAAGAUGUGGUCAAAUCUCUGACUAAAUUAGAACGGGAGUUGUGCAAUGAGCUGACUCGAUUAGAGAUACGAGGGAAGAGAGGCAAGAAAGUGCCUGUCCUGCUGACGAAGGACAUGGUUGAGUCCAUGGACAUGCUGAAUGAAAGCAGGAGCAAAGUGGGCAUCGACGAAGCCAAUCCUUACGUUUUUGCAAGAGUGGGGGCUUUAACACACAUCCGUGGAUCAGACUGUUUGAGGAAGCUUUCAAAAACGUGUGGUGCAAAAGACCCCAGGAGCCUUACGUCGACCAAAUUAAGGAAACAAAUAGCAACUCUGAGUCAGAUCAUGAAUUUAAAAAACAAUGAACUUGACCAAUUGGCCAAAUUCCUGGGACACGACAUUAGAGUGCACCGUGAGUACUACAGACUGUCCGAAAAUACAAUUCAACUUGCAAAAGUUAGCAAGUUGCUUUUGUCUCUAGAAAAAGGAUCCGAUUGUUACAAAGGAAAAUCUUUGGAGGAGAUUACAUUUAGUACAGAGGGUGAGUAA
rnacentral:lncRNA from 1 species